rnacentral:rRNA from 1 species
AUUGAACGCUGGCGGCAGGCCUAACACAUGCAAGUCGAGCGGAUGAGAGGAGCUUGCUUCUUGAUUCAGCGGCGGACGGGUGAGUAAUGCCUAGGAAUCUGCCUGGUAGUGGGGGACAACGUUUCGAAAGGAACGCUAAGAACGCAUACGUCCUACGGGAGAAAGUAGGGGACCUUCGGGCCUUGCGAUGACAGAGGAGGCUAGGUCGGAUUAGCGAGGUGGUGAGGUAAUGGCGCACCAAGGCUACGAUCCGUAACUGGUCUGAGAGGCAUGAUCAGUCACACUGGAACUGAGACACGGUCCAGACUCCUACGGGAGGCAGCAGUGGGGAAUAUUGGACAAUGGGCGAAAGCCUGAUCCAGCCAUGCCGCGUGUGUGAAGAAGGUCUUCGGAUUGUAAAGCACUUUAAGUUGGGAGGAAGGGUUGUACGUUAAUACCGUGCAAUUUUGACGUUACCGACAGAAUAAGCACCGGCUAACUCUGUGCCAGCCGCCGCAGUAA